UACGAAGGGGGCUAGCGUUGCUCGGAAUCACUGGGCGUAAAGCGCACGUAGGCGGCUUUUUAAGUCAGGGGUGAAAUCCUGGAGCUCAACUCCAGAACUGCCUUUGAUACUGAGAAGCUUGAGUCCGGGAGAGGUGAGUGGAACUGCGAGUGUAGAGGUGAAAUUCGUAGAUAUUCGCAAGAACACCAGUGGCGAAGGCGGCGAGCUGGUCCGUUACUGACGCUGAGGCGCGACAGCGUGGGGAGCAAACAGG
rnacentral:rRNA from 1 species